CCUACGGGAGGCAGCAGUAGGGAAUAUUGCUCAAUGGGGGAAACCCUGACGCAGCAACGCCGCGUGGAGGAUGAAGGUUUUCGGAUUGUAAACUUCUUUUGUUAGAGAAGAUAUUGACGGUAUCUAACGAAUAAGCAACGGCUAACUCCGUGCCAGCAGCCGCGGUAAUACGGAGGGUCCAAGCGUUACUCGGAAUCACUGGGCGUAAAGGGUGCGUAGGCGGGAUAGCAAGUCAGUUGUGAAAUCCUAUGGCUUAACCAUGGAACUGCAUUUGAAACUGGUAUUCUUGAGUAUGGGAGAGGAAGGUGGAAUUCUUGGUGUAGGGGUAAAAUCCGUAGAGAUCAAGAGGAAUACUCAUUGCGAAGGCGACCUGCUAGAACAUAACUGACGCUGAUGCGCGAAAGCGUGGGGAGCAAACAGGAUUAGAUACCCUUGUAGUC
rnacentral:rRNA from 1 species